GUCGAGAGGCUUCGGCAAUGGGGGAAACCCUGACCGAGCGACGCCGCGUGCGGGAUGAAGGCUUUCGGGUUGUAAACCGCUGUCAGGAGGGAAGAAUCCCCCAGGGCUAACAUCCCUGGGGUUGACGGUACCUCCAAAGGAAGCUCCGGCUAACUCCGUGCCAGCAGCCGCGGUAAUACGGGGGGAGCUAACGUUGUUCGGAUUCACUGGGCGUAAAGGGCGUGUAGGCGGUCUGGUAAGUCAGGGGUGAAAUCCCGCGGCUCAACCGUGGAGUUGCCUUUGAAACUGCCGGACUUGAGGCCGUGAGAGGAGACUGGAAUUCCCAGUGUAGCGGUGAAAUGCAUAGAUAUUGGGAAGAACACCAGUGGCGAAGGCGAGUCUCUGGCACGGUUCUGACGCUGAGGCGCGAAAGCUAGGGGAGCAAACGGGAUUAGAAACCCGAGUAGUCC
rnacentral:rRNA from 1 species